rnacentral:piRNA from 1 species
UGGAGCUCUAGAAGCUGUCACUGUGUAC